UCCUCGGUAGUAUAAUGGUUAGGAUCCUCGCUUGUCACGCGGGAGACCUGGGUUCGAUUCCCGGCCGGGGAG